AUUGAACGCUGGCGGCAGGCCUAACACAUGCAAGUCGAACGAGUGGCGGACGGGUGAGUAAUGUCUGGGCAACUGCCUGAUGGAGGGGGAUAACUACUGUAAACAGUAGCUAAUACCGCAUACCAUCCGAUUUGCCCCGAUGGGAUUAGCUAUUAGGUGUGGUAACGGCUCACCUGGGCGACGAUCCCUAUCUGGUCUGAGAGGAUGACCAACCACACUGGAACGGAGCCACGGUCCGAACCCCUCCGGAGGGCAGAAGUGGGGAAUAUUGCACAAUGGGCGCAAGCCUGAUGCACCCAUGCCGCGUGGAUGAAGAAGGCCUUCGGGUUUUAAAGUACUUUCAGCGGGGAGGCGGUACCCGCAGAAGAAGCACCGGCUAACUCCGUGCCAGCAGCCGCGGUAAUUC
rnacentral:rRNA from 1 species